rnacentral:rRNA from 1 species
UGAUCCUGGCUCAGAACGAACGCUGGCGGCAGGCCUAACACAUGCAAGUCGAGCGAGAUCUUCGGAUCUAGCGGCGGACGGGUGAGUAACGCGUGGGAAUAUGCCCUUCUCUACGGAAUAGCCUCGGGAAACUGGGAGUAAUACCGUAUACGCCCUUAGGGGGAAAGAUUUAUCGGAGAAGGAUUAGCCCGCGUUGGAUUAGGUAGUUGGUGGGGUAAUGGCCUACCAAGCCGACGAUCCAUAGCUGGUUUGAGAGGAUGAUCAGCCACACUGGGACUGAGACACGGCCCAGACUCCUACGGGAGGCAGCAGUGGGGAAUCUUAGACAAUGGGGGCAACCCUGAUCUAGCCAUGCCGCGUGAGUGA